UGAGUGAAAUGUGUGAUCUGAGGAUACUGACUUGCUGUGACACAGAACUGGAAUUGUGAACCCAGUUCACUCUCAUUCUAGUAAUUCAAAAUCAAAAUGGCAGCAGCACCUUCCACUGCAAACACUUUAGAUGGUCAAAUAUGUUUGUUUUAGUGCUACUUGUGGUGGGUGUGGAUUGUUCUGGAUUUAAAAGUAACUACAGGAUGGUGACAUAAUCAAAAAGUUCUGCGGCAGGACACUUAGACAAGCCACGGGCAGCUCCCACCUGCCCCAGCAGUCAGAACGUCAUCGCGAUCCGGGGGAGUGUCUGUGAUGGAUUUACUUCAAGACUGUAAACAUCAAAGCUCUCUGGCCUCUCUGCAAGGGGAAGCAGGAGAUUGAUGAGAUGGCGGGGGAGGACUCAGCAAGGGGGAUUAAUGAGAUCACCGCAUACAGCAGCACCCCGGGUGCCUCGGAAUCACGGUCGCGGGCGGGACGAUGCAGCUUGGAGAAGGCAGGUCAUUCUCAGGAUUGCUAGAUCCAUCCAGGCUGCCGAGGGACAGGGUGUAGGCAGUGUGUCCCUAGCUAACACACGGGCAAUUGGAAUAGAUGGGGCAAAACUGGCUACCAAAUUUUACAAAUGUAAAAAAUAAAUGUAAAAAAACAUUG